GAGAAUUGCUUGAAUCCGGGAGGCGAAGUUUACAGUGAGCUGAGAUUGAGCCACUGCACUCCAGCCUGGGUGACAGAGUGAGACUCCGUCUCAAAAUAAUAAUUAUAAUAAUAACUGUUGUUGUUGUUGUUGUUGUUAGGACGGAUGUCUACCUUAAAUCUCGGCUCUCUCACCCUACUUAGCCUAGGCCUGGUCAGCGCCAUGGCAGAUGCUUCAUGAAACAACCCUCAUGGAAAUGGCAUGGCAUGGCAAGGGCCAACUGAGACCUCUUCACAGCACACAGGGGACUCCUGGGCCAAGAUGCAUGAGGCUUCCUAGGCUCUGGCCUUUCACCGAAACCCAGACAGGUGAAAAUUCAGCCUUGGAGGCUGAGGCUGAUAAUUAGGGAUGAAGAUGCUAAGGGGUCUCCUCGGCUCAUUUAAGGCUUUCAAAAACACCUGGGAGCUUGUUUGUCAUUUCAGAGGGUGCCAGCCGAAAGACAAGAGAGAUGUUAAAUUGCCCCCCAAACAAGGAGCAUGCUUGGUGAGUUUAGUUCUUGCUAUUGCUUAAAUGUCCCUGCCAAAACUCACGUUGAAACUGAGUCCUGAAUGUGGUGGUUUGGAGAGGUGGUGCCUUUAAGAGGUGAUUGGAUCCUAAGAGCACUGCUCUCAUAAAUGGAUUAAUCCAUUUAUCAAUUAAUGGGUUAUUAGGUUAAUGGAUUAGUGGGUCAUCUUGGGAAGGAAACUGGUGGCUUUCUAAGACAAGGGAAAGAGCUGAACUAGCAUGUUAGCACAAUCAGCCCCCUCACCACGUGAUGCCCUGAGCCUCCUUGGGACUCUGCAGAGAGUCCCCACCUCUGUACCAGCCAGAGAGAAGGUUCUCACCAGAUGUGGUCCCUCAAUCUUGGACUUCUCAGACUCUAUAACUGUAAGAAAUAAAUUCCUUUUCUCUAUAAACUCCACAGUUUCGGCCAGGUGUGCUGGCUCAUGUCUAUAAUCCCACCACUUUGGGAGGCCAAGGCAGGAGGAUCACUUGGGCCCAGGAGUUCAACGCCAACCUGGACAAUAUGGCCAAACCCCGUCUCUACAAAACACACACACGUGCACACACACACACACACACACACAAAUUAGCCGGGCAUGGCAGCAAGUGCCUGUAGUCCCAGCUACUAGGGUGGCUGAGAAGGGAGGAUCAUUUGAACCUGGGAGGCAGAGGUUGCAGUGAGCCAAAAUCAUGCCAUUGCAUUCCAGCCUGGGUGACAGAGCGAGAUCCUGUCUCAAAAAAAAAGAAUUCCCCAGUUUCAGGUAUUCUGUUAUAAGCAACAGAAAAUGGACUAAAACAGUUCUCUAUGAAGGGGUUCCUUGUGGGAUGAUCCCUUCAGUGGCCCCUCCUCAAAGGUUACGUGGUGCCCAUGGGGCCACUUGGUGAAUAGCUGAUGCCAUUUGGAAUUCUGGAUGUGGAGGAAACACCAUGUGUUACUAGUUCAGUGCCUCACCUCUCUGCCUCCUCCACGCCCAAGUUGUAUGUAUAACCUCCUACAACAAAUACAACAGAUAAAACA
rnacentral:lncRNA from 1 species